UACAGAGGUCUCAAGCGUUGUUCGGAUUCAUUGGGCGUAAAGGGUGCGUAGGCGGCGCCGUAAGUCGGAUGUGAAAUCUCAGGGCUCAACCCUGAAACUGCAUUCGAUACUGCGGUGCUCGAGGACUCGAGAGGAGAUUGGAAUUCACGGUGUAGCAGUGAAAUGCGUAGAUAUCGUGAGGAAGACCAGUGGCGAAGGCGGAUCUCUGGAGAGUUCCUGACGCUGAGGCACGAAGGCCAGGGGAGCAAACGGG
rnacentral:rRNA from 1 species